rnacentral:rRNA from 1 species
AGAGUUUGAUCCUGGCUCAGAACGAACGUUGGCGGCGCGUUUUAAGCAUGCAAGUCGAGCGGCAAGAGUACUUCGGUACUCCUAGAGCGGCGGACGGGUGAGUAACACGUGGAUAACCUGCCCCCGGGUGCGGGAUAGCCCAGGGAAACCUGGAUUAAUACCUCGUAAGACCACGCUCUGCAGGGAGAGUGGGAAAAGGCGCUUCGGCGUCGCCUGGGGAUGGGUCCGCGUCCCAUUAGCUAGAUGGUAGGGUAAGAGCCUACCAUGGCGACGAUGGGUAGCCGGCCUGAGAGGGUGAACGGCCACACUGGAACUGAGACACGGUCCAGACUCCUACGGGAGGCAGCAGCUAAGAAUCUUCCGCAAUGGGCGCAAGCCUGACGGAGCGACGCCGCGUGGGCGAGGAAGGCCGCAAGGUUGUAAAGUCCUUUUCGGGAAGGGGAAUAAGAGUGAUAGGCAAUGAUCACUUGAUGACAUGAAUCCCGGAAUAAGCCCCGGCUAACUACGUGCCAGCAGCCGCGGUAACACGUAGGGGGCGAGCGUUGUUCGGAAUCAUUGGGCGUAAAGGGCGCGCAGGCGGCGUGUAAAGUCUGGCGUGGAAGUCCCCGGCUCAACUGGGGGAUUGCGUAGGAAACUGGCACGCUUGAGUACGACAGGGGAUGGCGGAAUUCCAGGUGUAGGGGUGAAAUCUGUAGAUAUCUGGAGGAACACCAAUGGCGAAGGCAGCCAUCUGGAUCAGUACUGACGCUGAGGCGCGAAGGUGCGGGUAUCAAACAGGAUUAGAUACCCUGGUAGUCCGCACAGUAAACGAUGGAUACUCGCUGUCGGCGAUAUACAGUCGGUAGCCAAGCGAAAGCAUUAAGUAUCCCACCUGGGGAGUACGCCGGCAACGGUGAAACUCAAAGGAAUUGACGGGGGCCCGCACAAGCGGAGGAACAUGUGGUUUAAUUCGAUGAUACGCGAGGAACCUUACCCGGGCUUGAAUUGCUGAUAACGGCAUUUGGAGACAGAUGCUUCCCUUCGGGGUAUCAGUGAAGGUGCUGCAUGGUUGUCGUCAGCUCGUGCCGUAAGGUGUCGGCUUAAGUGCCAUAACGAGCGCAACCCUUGCCGUUAGUUGCCAUCAGGUUAAGCUGGGCACUCUAGUGGGACUGCCAUCGUAAGAUGUGAGGAAGGUGGGGAUGACGUCAAAUCAGCACGGCCCUUAUGUCCGGGGCGACACACGUGUUACAAUGGUAGGUACAGCGGGAAGCUACCUGGCGACAGGAUGCAGAUCCCGAAAUCCUAUCUCAGUUCGGAUUGGAGUCUGGAACUCGACUCCAUGAAGCUGGAUUCGCUAGUAAUCGCGCAUCAGCCAUGGCGCGGUGAAUACGUUCCCGGGCCUUGUACACACCGCCCGUCAAG